UACGUAGGAUCCAAGCGUUGUCCGGAUUUACUGGGUGUAAAGGGUGCGCAGGCGGACUUAUAAGUCAGGGGCGAAAUCUCGCUGCUCAACAGCGAAACUGCCUUUGAUACUGUAGGUCUUGAAUUAGGGAGAGAUUCGUGGAAUUCCGAGUGUAGCAGUGAAAUGUGUAGAUAUUCGGAAGAACACCAGAGGCGAAGGCAGCGAAUUGGCCCUAUAUUGACGCUCAGGCACGAAAGCAUGGGGAUCAAACAGG
rnacentral:rRNA from 1 species